rnacentral:rRNA from 1 species
UACGGGGGGGGCAAGCGUUGUUCGGAAUUACUGGGCGUAAAGGGUGCGUAGGCGGUUCGCUAAGUUGGAUGUGAAAACUCUGGGCUUAACCCAGAGCCUGCAUUCAAAACUGACGGGCUAGAGUUCUGGAGGGGGUAGCGGAAUUCCUGGUGUAGCGGUGAAAUGCGUAGAUAUUAGGAAGAACACCGGUGGCGAAGGCGGCCCACUGGAUCGGUACUGACGCUGAGGUGCGAAAGCGUGGGGAGCAAACAGG